rnacentral:rRNA from 1 species
UUGCACGCUGGCGGCAUGCCUUACACAUGCCAGUCGCACGGCAGCACGGGUGCUUGCACCUGGUGGCGAGUGGCGAACGGGUGAGUAAUACAUCGGAACAUGUCCUGUAGUGGGGGAUAGCCCGGCGAAAGCCGGAUUAAUACCGCAUACGAUCUACGGAUGAAAGCGGGGGACCUUCGGGCCUCGCGCUAUAGGGUUGGCCGAUGGCUGAUUAGCUAGUUGGUGGGGUAAAGGCCUACCAAGGCGACGAUCAGUAGCUGGUCUGAGAGGACGACCAGCCACACUGGGACUGAGACACGGCCCAGACUCCUACGGGAGGCAGCAGUGGGGAAUUUUGGACAAUGGGCGAAAGCCUGAUCCAGCAAUGCCGCGUGUGUGAAGAAGGCCUUCGGGUUGUAAAGCACUUUUGUCCGGAAAGAAAUCCUUGGCCCUAAUACGGUCGGGGGAUGACGGUACCGGAAGAAUAAGCACCGGCUAACUACGUG